CAGUCUUCUAAAUAGCAGCACCAGAACAGCAACAGUCACAACAGCCACACAGCACCCCUGACACAAUCUUCAGUCUUCCACACAAAAAAGGGGGGUGAACCAUCAAUCAGAAGAAGAAGUAUCACCUUCACCUUCACCUUCACCUUUAGAGCCUUCAGAGCUUUCAGAGCUGCCACUGGAUUGGGCUUUUGCAUCUGAAUUCUUAGC
rnacentral:lncRNA from 1 species